GACCACGCUCUGACUUGUCUGAGUUUCUGG
rnacentral:piRNA from 1 species